rnacentral:rRNA from 1 species
AUGUCGAGUAUGGCGGUGCUACAAUGGAGCGGGCGCCACUUCCGAGGGUGUGAUGACGGCACUACAAUGGAGUGGGCUCCUGUUGCUGUCGGUGUGACAAGUCGUGGACGGCGGCGCUGUAGUGGUGGUGCUGCCGGCGGGGCGGCGAGGCAGGCCCGUCAAUGCGGGAGACCAGCUCAUCCUUGGCGUUGUGUCUGA